GGAAGUAAAAGUCGAACAAGGUCUCCGUAGGUGAACCUGCGGAGGGAUCAUUACAGAGUUCUCGCCCUUACGGGUAGAUCUCCCACCCACUGUUAUCGUUACUGUCGUUUCUUUGGCGGGCCGCCGGGUCCCCGGCCGCCGGCGCCUAGCUGCCGGCGCGCGCCCGCCAGAGGCCUUCAAACUCUGAAUGUUAGUGUCGUCUGAGUACUAUAUAAUAGUUAAAACUUUCAACAACGGAUCUCUUGGUUCUG
rnacentral:misc_RNA from 1 species